UACAGAGACUGCAAGCGUUAUUCGGAUUCACUGGGCGUAAAGGGUGCGCAGGCGGCCAAGUGUGUCAGGGUGUGAAAUCCCGAGCUUAACCUCGGAACUGCGCCUGAAACUACUUGGCUAGAGUACUGGAGAGGGUAACGGAAUUCACGGUGUAGCAGUGAAAUGCGUAGAUAUCGGGAGGAACACCGGUGGCGAAGGCGGUUCUCUGGGCCUGUACUGACGCUGAGGAGCGAAAGCGUGGGGAGCGAACAGG
rnacentral:rRNA from 1 species